AGGGAUUUGAACUACUGCAACAUUCAGUGAGAUUGUUAUGCUAGGACAGACUAUGAUCUGGCAGUAUCAGGAGUCACACUAAUCCUGCAAUGUUAACAGGAUUUGAAAUUUAUUUGUACCUGGUUAAGGCUGGCAGGUAUGGAUGAACCAGAGCCUUUGAAGCAUCUCACAGUGGAUUUCAUGUAAUCCUGGCUACCACUAUUGCACAGUGCCCAGUCCAGUUCCUGUAGUCUGAAGAGGUAUGUUCAUGGAUUGUGGUCCUCUAGAAAGAAACAGGGACAAAAAUAAAAAAAUACUCCUGAAGCUGUUUCCCAAAGCAAGGAGAAAGGCUGGACCUAGAGGUGAAUAUAGAGAUAUUGCUUGAAUGUUUUUUGUUGCUGCUUGUGGCUGGGACAAAUAAAAGAUUCUGUGAUUUACCAUCACCCCUGGUUUCCUUGGUAACAUUCCGCAUGUUGGGAAGCGGCUGUUUGAAAGUCACACGAAAGAAUAGCCUUUGGAAAACUGCAGUUGGAUACAGGACUGCUUCCCUUCUUCAGGAUGGACUAGCAAUAAAUGCCCCGAGAGUUUGCAAGGAGGAUGCCUGAGAGGCUUGGCAGGGAAGGCAGCCUGGUCAGUCAGAGAGCCUGGAGCAGGAACGGGCAGAGAAGAGAAGAGUGCUGCCAUCUUACUCAGCAGAUAAAUUGGUCUGCUCCAGAGCUGGAUCAAGGAUGGCUAUGCAGCUGGACAGGUACAACUGUAUCCAACUGUACUGCAACUAUAGUAAAAGCAGUUCUUAUCCAUAAGACCCUGUGCUUUUUUUUAUUGCGAGAUGUGUAAUGAGGAACUGAAAGUAGAGGACUGUAGAAGAGAUGGGACAAUGAAAUGGUUAAAGGAUGCUAAAAGGUCCUGUAGAAAUGGGUUCUCACCUUGUCCCUGUCAUGGAGCUCAAGUCAUACCCAAGGCACUUCAACCCAUCCUUUCAGAGGCAGCUGGUCAUUAGCACACAUUUUAGAGCACCCUUGCUGCAAAUGGGUCAGGAUGCUGCUGUGACACACAUGGCACUACAGACUUUCAGCGCUUCAGGAGCACUGAAAAAUUAGGUCAUAAACUUUUCAUGUUGCCUAGACCUAGUAAGUACUGCCUAGAGCUUCAACAUCUUCUGGGAGCCGUUGUCUCACAGGGACAUUGUGAAGAUCUAUUUCUACUUCAUCAGGUGUUUACCUUUCAAAGCUGGGUGUGCUGGACUUGUCUUUUCUUGUUGAGUGUGGAUGGAAGUGAAAUACCUUAUGGUGAGUGGGGAGUAACCUUUGGGUCCUCAGGAGAGGUGGAGAAGUGCAUGUCCAUCUGCUUGUUUGCUGUUGGUCACUGGCUCAGGUAGUUGGAAAUCAGGGCAUGCAAAAUCUCUCUUCUUGACCUCGCAAGUCUGGACCUGGUCAUUUUUCCUGACGAGAAGAGGAAUGGAAAGAGUCAAGAGAUCUGUGAUCUUUACUCACAUUUCCCUGCACUGCAGAUAACAGCAGGGGAAGAUCUUAAGGUCCCCUUUCUCUCUUGGCAAAAUGUGUCUAGGUGGGAUAUGAUGUAGUUCUUCCCUCGACUCCCAAAGUCUGAGAGCAGGGUUAUGAACUCCAGGGAGUGCUGGAGAAGUGCUGGGGCCACUGGGGUAAAAGAUGAUGCGGUG
rnacentral:lncRNA from 1 species